rnacentral:rRNA from 1 species
UAGGGAACCUUCCGCAAUGGACGAAAGUCUGACGGAGCAACGCCGCGUGAGUGAUGAAGGCUUUCGGGUCGUAAAACUCUGUUGUUAGGGAAGAACAAGUACGAGAGUAACUGCUCGUACCUUGACGGUACCUAACCAGAAAGCCACGGCUAACUACGUGCCAGCAGCCGCGGUAAUACGUAGGUGGCAAGCGUUAUCCGGAAUUAUUGGGCGUAAAGCGCGCGCAGGCGGUUUCUUAAGUCUGAUGUGAAAGCCCACGGCUCAACCGUGGAGGGUCAUUGGAAACUGGGGGAACUUGAGUGCAGAAGAGAAAAGCGGAAUUCCACGUGUAGCGGUGAAAUGCGUAGAGAUGUGGAGGAACACCAGUGGCGAAGGCGGCUUUUUGGUCUGUAACUGACGCUGAGGCGCGAAAGCGUGGGGAGCAAACAGGAUUAGAUACCCUGGUAGUCCACGCCGUAAACGAUGAGUGCUAAGUGUUAGAGGGUUUCCGCCCUUUAGUGCUGCAGCUAACGC